rnacentral:rRNA from 1 species
GAUGAACGCUGGCGGCGUGCCUAAUACAUGCAAGUCGAGCGAACAGACGAGGAGCUUGCUCCUCUGACGUUAGCGGCGGACGGGUGAGUAACACGUGGAUAACCUACCUAUAAGACUGGGAUAACUUCGGGAAACCGGAGCUAAUACCGGAUAAUAUAUUGAACCGCAUGGUUCAAUAGUGAAAGACGGUUUUGCUGUCACUUAUAGAUGGAUCCGCGCCGCAUUAGCUAGUUGGUAAGGUAACGGCUUACCAAGGCAACGAUGCGUAGCCGACCUGAGAGGGUGAGCGGCCAACAUGGAACUGAGACACGGUCCAGACGCCUACGGGAGGCAGCAGUAGGGAAUCUUCCGCAAUGGGCGAAAGCUUGACGGAGCAACGCCGCGGGAGUGAUGAAGGUCUUCGGAUCGUAAAACGCUGUUAUUAGGGAAGAACAAAUGUGUAAGUAACUAUGCACGUCUGGACGGUACCUAAGCAGAAAACCACGGCUAACUACGU